UAAUAGGAAAAUAUUAAUUAGAGAUGUUAUUGGAAACUAAAUAGAAAUGAGAGUACAAGUAUUAAGGGAUACUCAAAUGACACAAGCACACUUUGAAGUUAAGUGAAAGGAUAAAAUGGUAAUUAAACUAUGCCUAUAUAAGGUCAUCACACUCACUCUACCUCCUAUUUUCAUAAAGCAAUUUCAGAGCACCUCACCCCAACACUCUCUUCUCUCUCCGUGUCCUUCAUUACCACCCCCAACAUCAAAGCUCACCCCACUAAUAUCACUUCAAUGUUGCAUGCAAGUUAGGAAUUGAAUUCUUUGAGUCUCAAGAAGCAAGGUUAGAACCCAUAAUUUCCUUCUCUCCUUCCCUCUGCCACGCAAUAAUCUCCCUCUCCACCUUAACCCAAAUCAUUCUUAGCCUCCAAACCCUUAUUCACUAAACUGCUCAUUCAUUUCCAAUCCUUCAACUUAUGGUGGUUGCAUGUGAAAUUAAAGCACUUAUGAACCUUUGGGUAUUUGAUAUAAACUGGGAUUUAAAGUGGAAGUGAACAGAAAUGGAAGAUUUAAGGAGUUGAAGAUGGAAGCUUGGUUUGGUGAAGUUUGGAAGAAUUUAUGUAAAAACCAGUAUUUCUGGACAUACACUCACUAAAAAGUCGUUUGGGAUACCAGCCUCGUGAGAUUUGGUGGAGAAAUAAGGUCUGUGCGAAUUUUUGAAAUGAAAGGUUCAAUACAGGAUUUUGCAGAAUUCGUGUUUGGACAGGGCUGCACUUAAAUGGUGAGUUCUCACUCUCUAUAAUUCUGUUUGAAAUCUCGUUUGUUUCUAUGGAUAGCUAACUCAAUUACGGUCGUCUUGGUUCCGGUUUGGUAUAUUUUGGAUGAGUAAUGAGCUCAGAGGACGCAUUUAAAGUUGGAGGUCUGAAGCUGCGUUAUGCAGAAAAUUCUGUUGCGAAUUUGCGUAUUCGAGUGGCACAAUCGGAUGGUUGUUAAGCGUGCGGGACAACUCGGUACUGCAAUUCAUAUCAGACAAGCAGGUUGAUCGAGAUAUCUUGGUUUGUUAGCACGAAGAUUCAGAUACGUGGAUUACGUUAUGGAGCUGACAUCAUGUUAAUCUUAUUAUUAUAUAAGAUUCAGUUUAUUUGAGUUUAGUAGUUAGCUCAAUCAUGUAUUCAUUUAGUGGAUUAUUGUAAUCCUAUUGAUGUAUUUGAUCUUUAUGUAGUGAAAAAUUAAUGUUUCCCGAUUCAGUUAUGUACACUCUUGUUGAUAUUCUAGAUAAAUUGACAUGAGAUGUUAUAAUUGGUAUCAGAGCAGGUCGAUUCAGUAUCGGACCUUGCCGCGGAUCAUUAAAAUUCAAUCCAAAGUAGUAUGGACCCUUUGGAGUCUGAACUGUUUACGCUGAAAUCAUUACGUGCUGAGCCCGAUCAACUCGGUAUCGUGUAUGGUAGGCAGGGUAUUACGGUUGAGAACCGAAGCGGACCAAGGAGGUCUCGUAGCAAGAACAUGGUAGAAGCGCUAACUCAUAAGGAAGUAAGAGAGAAGAUCUCUAGAAGCGGAUGUUGGAGUUGCAGCAGUCGACGCUACAGAAGUAAGUAACACCAAUAAGUGGUUCGUAGAAUUUGGAAUAGUAUGUAGCAUAAUACCAGUAGUAAGGGGCAUGUCAGGAGAUGCACGAACCGAAUGCGCUCAACUGACGGUAGCAUGUAUAAGAAUGUGGAGAAUUCUGGGACUGGAAAAUUAUAGUAGGUCUGAUGGGCGCAUUAAUAUAGAUGAUGGAAUUAUGAGAACGGCGCGCGCAGUAUAUUGAAGUGUGGUACACCAGUAUUAUCCAACCAGCAAAUAUGUAUGAUGUGAACCUAAUUACAAGAAGCACCUUAAUUCAAAUAAGACUUAACAGGAGUCAGUGAACCCAAAACAUUUUCGAAUUUGUUUAACCUUCAUUUCAGCCCAGUAGCUUUCCCCAGUGGCGUAGGUCAAUUAAAUACACUAUCGGAGAAAGACAAACUAGACUUCAUGCAUUACCUUAAUUCCUAAUG